AAAAAAAAAAAUCUAUAUAAUUUAACCUAAAUGCACGUCUCUUACCCCCAUUACCUCCAUUUAACUCACAAAGGCAAAUCCACGUUUCAUCUAACUGCCCCAUUUAUCAUCUGUAUAUCCCGAUUCUCCAAUUUUUGUUCAUGUAUGAACUUCCAACGGUUCACAAGAGACUUAAUCGACAGAAACUGCCCCAUUUACCAUCUGUAUCCGGAUUCUAAAAUUUCCUUUCAUGUUUGAACUUUUAUAUUGUUGCAGCGAUUUACGGGAGACUUAUUCGAUAGAAAUAGCCUUCAAUCUCAAACUAAAAAGAGUUUGACACGAAGAUAUGUGGGAUAGGCAAAGCUGAGUUUCCAAGCUCACGUCGUCAUUCCUUCUUUAUAGGUCAGUUUCAAACCCAAAUUGUUGCAUACGUCUAUCCUAUUUUCUGAAAAACGAAUCUCACCAAUCACCAUUAUGGGCUAUGACGUGAGAUGGAGAAUGAGAACAACUGACAAUUGAUAUGCAUGAAAUUGCGACUAGACCGAGAAGCCUUUUAGAGCAAUUUUUUGUGACCAUGAUGACAGAACCGUCCUAAUCCAGAAACCUUAGGAAUGCAAGUGAUGGUCUUCAAAAUCCGUGUUAUGGUAAUUGCUGAUUUUUUUU